GACGAACGCUGGCGGCGUGCCUAAUACAUGCAAGUCGAACGCAGUGGGGACGGGUGAGUAACACGUGGGUAACCUCCCAUCAGAGGGGAUAACACUUGGAAACAGGUGCUAAACCGAUACUGAUGGAUGGACCCGCGGUGCAUUAGCUAGUUGGUGAGGUAACGGCUCACCAAGGCCACGAUGCAUAGCCGAACUGAGAGGGUGUGUGGCCAGACUGGGACUGGGAACGGGCCCGGACUCCUACGGGAGGCAGCAGUAGGGAAUCUUCGGCAAGGGACGAAAGUCUGACCGAGAAACGCCGCGUGAGUGAAGAAGGUUUUCGGAUCGUAAAACUCUGUUGUUAGAGAAGCGGUAUCUAACCAGAAAGCCACGGCUAACUACGUGCCAGCAGCCGCGGUAAUAC
rnacentral:rRNA from 1 species